UCAUGCUUCUCCCUAUCUGUCAGCAGAUCCAACCACCACAAGGUCCAAUCAGAAGCCCCAACUCACUUGCAAUUUACAAUCCAUUUCCUACAUCAAAUUAGAGAAAUAAACUGGAAUCACCGGACCACCAACUAUAACAAUCAGUGUUAUAGAUUUCCUUCACUUAUGUGAAAUAGGAAUUUCAUAUUGUUCCUCUUGCAAAUCAGGAUAAAGCACUGCAUGCAUUUAAUAAACUUUCAUGUACGGAAAAUUAGAGAAUGCGCAGGGUCGCUAAGAGUCAUCUAUUACUAUUAGCACAGCCACAAAAGUGCAAUUAUUCAUAGAAUAUUAGCAUAAUUAUGUGGCAAAUGUUCUCUUAACUAAAUACGUUGGAUUUCACAAAUUUAAAGCUGCAAGGAGAGGAAUGGAUGGAUGAAUUCGCAAGAGGAAAUGGAAGUAUGAGUCCUUCAGAUGCAUGGAAGAAAGGCAAACUGGAAGACCACAAACACAAUACGUGUCGCUCCAUUAGAACUAACCUGUGAAUCAAAUCUUUUAGAAUCAGUAUAUCUGUAAAUCUUAUGACUGAAAGAAGGGCCAUGCCUGUGAAAGCUUCUCCAAUGACAAUGCCUGACACAAAAUUCCUCUCCAUGGGAUGUAGCUGAUAGGUGUGAUAUACACAAAUUUCCUCU
rnacentral:lncRNA from 1 species